rnacentral:rRNA from 1 species
UGGGGAAUUUUGGACAAUGGACGCAAGCCUGAUCCAGCCAUGCCGCGUGCGGGAAGAAGGCCUUCGGGUUGUAAACCGCUUUUGUAAGGGACGAAACGGUUUUCCCUAAUACAGGGACUUAAUGACGGUACCGGAAGAAUAAGCACCGGCUAACUACGUGCCAGCAGCCGCGGUAAUACGUAGGGUGCAAGCGUUAAUCGGAAUUACUGGGCGUAAAGCGUGCGCAGGCGGUUAUGCAAGACAGAGGUGAAAUCCCCGGGCUCAACCUGGGAACUGCCUGUGGGACUGCAUAGCUAGAGUACGGUAGAGGGGGAUGGAAUUCCGCGUGUAGCAGUGAAAUGCGUAGAUAUGCGGAGGAACACCGAUGGCGAAGGCAAUCCCCUGGACCUGUACUGACGCUCAUGCACGAAAGCGUGGGGAGCAAACA